rnacentral:tRNA from 1 species
GCCUGGAUGGCGGAACUGGUAGACGCGCACGACUCAAAAUCGUGUGCCUUCGGGCGUGUGGGUUCGAUUCCCACUCCGGGUA